rnacentral:rRNA from 1 species
GACGAACGCUGGCGGCGUGCCUAAUACAUGCAAGUCGAACGCUUCUUUUCCCACCGGAGCUUGCUCCACCGGGAAAAGAGGAGUGGCGAACGGGUGAGUAACACGUGGGUAACCUGCCCAUCAGAAGGGGAUAACACUUGGAAACAGGUGCUAAUACCGUAUAACAAUCGAAACCGCAUGGUUUCGUUUUGAAAGGCGCUUUACGGUGCCACUGAUGGAUGGACCCGCGGCGCAUUAGCUAGUUGGUGAGGUAACGGCUCACCAAGGCCACGAUGCAUAGCCGACCUGCGAGGGUGAUCGGCCACAUUGGGACUGAGACACGGCCCAAACUCCUACGGGAGGCAGCAGUAGGGAAUCUUCGGCAAUGGACGAAAGUCUGACCGAGCAACGCCGCGUGAGUGAAGAAGGUUUUCGGAUCGUAAGACUCUGUUGUUAGAGAAGAACAAGGGUGAGAGUAACUGUUCACCCCUUGACGGUAUCUAACCAGAAAGCCACGGCUAACUACGUGCCAGCCGCCGCGGUAA